UACGUAGGGUGCGAGCGUUGUCCGGAAUUAUUGGGCGUAAAGGGCUCGUAGGCGGCUUGUCGCGUCGAAUGUGAAAACUCGGGGCUCAACCCCGCGCUUGCAUUCGAUACGGGCAGGCUCGAGUUCGGUAGGGGAGACUGGAAUUCCUGGUGUAGCGGUGAAAUGCGCAGAUAUCAGGAGGAACACCUGUGGCGAAAGCGGCUCACUGGACCAUAACUGACGCUGAUGCACGAAAGCUAGGGGAGCAAACAGG
rnacentral:rRNA from 1 species